rnacentral:rRNA from 1 species
CCUACGGGGGGCAGCAGUGAGGAAUAUUGGUCAAUGGACGAGAGUCUGAACCAGCCAAGUAGCGUGAAGGAUGACUGCCCUAUGGGUUGUAAACUUCUUUUAUAUGGGAAUAAAAUGCUCCACGUGUGGGAUUUUGUAUGUACCAUAUGAAUAAGGAACGGCUAAAUCCGUGCCAGCAGCCGCGGUAAUACGGAGGAUCCGAGCGUUAUCCGGAUUUAUUGGGUUUAAAGGGAGCGUAGGUGGAUUGUUAAGUCAGUUGUGAAAGUUUGCGGCUCAACCGUAAAAUUGCAGUUGAAACUGGCAGUCUUGAGUACAGUAGAGGUAGGCGGAAUUCGUGGUGUAGCGGUGAAAUGCGUAGAUAUCACGAGGAACUCCGAUUGCGAAGGCAGCUCGCUGGACUGCAACUGACGCUGAGGCUCGAAAGUGUGGGUAUCAAACAGGAUUAGAUACCCCGGUAGUC